ACCAGUAGAUUUUGUGGCUUGAUGUCACGAUGACAUACCCCAACCACACGAUGUAAGUAGUUCAGCGCACGGCAGAUCUGAUAUGUGUAAAGCUGAACAAGGAUAAUUGGCAUAUGCUGAUUCAUUUUGGUAUAGUGCUUUAAUGCUCUGUAUACAGUUUCGGGAACAAACUCAAGGACAAGGUUAAGAUACAGCUCAUCCUUUUCAGUUGUCGAAAAGAAAGAAUGCCUUAGCCGCACAACGUUGGGAUGGUCUUGCAAGCGCAUUAUCUGAAGUUCUCUGUUCUUGUAUCUCUUAUCCUGCAGAACUUUCUUAAUUGCAACUUGUUCACCCGUUUCCAGACACUUGGCCUAUAAAAAAAAAACAGACAGUAAGUCAACUUAUGUAAACGCCAAAAAAUUAAAAAGGAUUAAUAUCUGCUGGUGCUAAGAAUAUUCCACAUACCUGGAACACAACUCCGAAUGAGCCUGUUCCAACAACUCUCUGGGCCAUGUAUGAGAUUGUCUGAAACCGAAUAACGAAAAAUUAAAUGAUACG